UCCGGUUGAUCCUGCCAGAGGUUACUGCUAUCGAGAUUCGACUAAGCCAUGCGAGUUGAAUGUUCUUCGGAACAUGGCGAACUGCUCAUUAACACUUGAACAACCUACCCUUGGUUCCGGCUUACUCCUGGAAAACUGGGAAUAUUUCCCGAUAGGUCACCAAUCCUGAAAUGUCCUAUGGCCGAAAUGCCCUCUCAGAAGUAUGAGUCUCUGCGGCCAUUCAGGUUGUAUGUGGUGUAACGUACCUACUACCCUACUACGGGUACGGUUUGUGAGAGCAAGACCCCAGAUAUGGAUUCUGACACACUAAUCCACGCCCUACGGGGUGCAGCGCGCGCAAAAACUUUACUAUGCGAGAAACCGUGAUAAGGAGAUCUCGAGUGCCAACAUAUAAUGUUGGCUGUCCAGAUGCCUAAAAAUCAUUGUUAGCAAGGGCCGGGCAAUACCGGUGCCAGCCGCCGCGGUAACACCUGCGGCCCGAGUGGUAACCGCUAUUAUUGGGUCUAAAGGGUCUGUACCCGGCCAGGUAAUUCCCUUGGGAAAUCUUGCAGCUCAACUGUCAUGCUGCUAGGGGAUACUGUUUGGCUUGGGACCGGGAGAGGUGAGAGGUACCUUGGGGGUAGAGGUGAAAUCUUGUGAUCCUCGAGGGACCACCAGUGGCGAAGGCGUCUCACCAGAACGGGUCCGACGGUAAGGGACGAAAGCUAGGGGCACGAACCGGAUUAGAUACCCGGGUAGUCCUAGCCGUAAACGAUGCUCGCUAGGUGUCAGUCACGGCGCGACUGUGAUUGGUGCCGCAGGGAAGCCGUGAAGCGAGCCACCUGGGAAGUAUGGUCGCAAGGCUGAAACUUAAAGGAAUUGGCGGGGGAGCACUACAACGGGUGGAGCCUGCGGUUUAAUUGGAUUCAACGCCGGAAAUCUCACCGGGGGCGACAGCGAUAUGAAGGUCAGGCUGAAGACUUUGCUGGAUUAGCUGAGAGGAGGUGCAUGGCCGUCGUCAGUUCGUACUGUGAAGCAUCCUGUUUAGUCAGGCAACGAGCGAGACCCACAUCCACAGUUGCCAGCAUAUUCUCCGGAAUGAUGGGUACACUGUGGAGACCGCCGCUGCUAAAGCGGAGGAAGGAGUGGGCAACGGUAGGUCAGUAUGCCCCGAAUCUUCCGGGCUACACGCGGGCUACAAUGGUCGGUACAAUGGGCAUCUGCCCCGAAAGGGGAAGGAAAUCUCUUAAAACCAUUCGUAGUUUGGAUUGAGGGGUGCAACUUGCCCUCCUGAAGGUGGAAUCCGUAGUAAUUGGGUUUCAACAGAAGGGGGGGAAUAAGUUCCUGGUCCUUGCACACCCCGCCCGUCAAACCACUCGAGUAGGGUCUGGAUGAGGGUGUGUUUAUUGACACAUUCGAAUCUGGGCUUUGCAAGGGGGGUU
rnacentral:rRNA from 1 species